AAAGACGAAAAGCAUGUCUUACCAAAUCACUUAUUGUUAACUUGUCAAAUCAGUGAUGCCAUGGAAACUAUGCUUUUAAAAAGCUCCUAAUUCGUUGGAUUUUGGCAGUAUACUAGUACUUUUUAAUACAAAUUUUAUUUUUUAUUUAAUUUAAAACCCUACCAAAAUAAAUAAUUGAAUUUCAAAUUUUGUGGAUUAGAUAAUUAUUUUUUGUUUGUUAGUAAUAUUUUAAAAUUAAUUUAUUUAAUUUAAAAUCUCACAUCAAAAU
rnacentral:lncRNA from 1 species